UGUUCAUCGUUAUUUGUUGAUAGUGUAUAAAAUAUUAUAUAAUAUGCCGAGUUAAUAACAUUUAUAGCAUCACAAUGAGUUCAAAUUGUCUAAACACGACUAUUUAUUGCGAAGUUAUGGGGAAACGUCGUUCAGGAACUCAGAAAAAUGUUGACGACCGUUUAAGAGUUUAAAUGGCAACAGCACUGUAGAAUUUUCUAUUACACAAGUUAAGUUACAAAAAAUAUGUUAAAAGUCCUAAUUUUUGUUAUGCAUCAUCGACCAGCAGCAAAAGUAUGGUGGCCACCUUGCGUGCCUUCUCCGUCCGACGUCCCAGUUCAAUACCAACCUGUCUCUGCGAAGAUACUACGUCUAACCAAGUCUACUAACGCCAACGUGCAAGUUAGAUAGUGUGUCUGAAAGAUGAGUGAUGGUGGGGAAUGAUGGUGAAAGGUGAAGAAGAGAAGUGAUGGUAAGUAAAUAAAUUGAAUUAUGUUCAUAAAUUUUCACGAAAAAUUUUGCUAAAGCUCUUUGAACCCGCGGUCAACAGCGUUGAAAGCGGGAGUAUUUCUCUUGAUCUAAAUUGUUACGAUAAUUUUAUGAUUUAGAACUUCUAUUUAACCUUCUUUAUGCAUUUUAAUAAAAUACGAUUGCUGUUAUGCAAAAACACCAUUUGGCUGUUGAACCAAUAAAUCAUGCAGUGACACAGGGCAA